GCAUUUUCUUUCUACACUGUCAUAAAUUUCAUUGUGUUAAUAGCCGUCGCCGUCCUGCUAGCUAAAGGUCCCUAUUAACAUGAUCGACAGUGGAGCGCAUCUGAGGGAAGAGUUACAUCAGGAAAAACUUUUUUGAGAAGCGACGUCAAAAGUGUGGUGGUGAAGAUUUCUCCAUGGAUACCUUGUUUGGGAAUCCUUAGCGGAGGAGUAACGGUAGGAAAACACGUCUACGCGAGCAGAGGAGCGCAAGCAAGACAACACCGAAGGACCGACCGCAAGGACCGGAGGGGAAAAUUAAAAAGUUUUGAGAUUCAUAGAAUGUCAAAAUGUCAAUUAUUUUUCUUUUGUUUUUUAUGUUAGUGGUCCUCACUAGUAUUCAACUCCACUAAGUCGUCCGUUGUCGAUGUUAACUACCCCGUUGGACAGCACAAACAUAUGACAUAGCACGUUUGCAGUUGUGGCUUUCUUUGUGAUUUCUAGUGGUAUUCUGGAUUGUGUGUUCAGUACCAUUGUACCGUUUCCACAGAAUGCGGGAUCGUUUAUGAUUCUUAGGUCAACCACCAGCGCGAAUUUGUGGUCUUUGUAGAAUCUCGUCAGGGUCAGCUGCUGAGGGGAGUUCCUUGACUUCUUCGGUGACCGCAAAGAUUCUCUUUGCUUCUUCAUAGAACCUAGUUUUCUCUUUGCUCUUCGUAGAAACUAGUUUUGGGAAUACCCUUACUGCAGAUGGAAUUGGGCACACCUUCCAAAGUGACUUUAACUUUUUCUAUGUUUGGGUAGACAUACUCUUCGCUGUCCGUCUUCGUUUUGUUGAUGAAGAGCAUUUGAUUGUUUCGUUAAUUAGGG